CACAUAUAUAAGGGUUCGUGGCGUGGCUGCGGCAGCGCUUCGACGAGUUCGUCGCGGCGCUCGUCGAGCUCAGCGUUCCGCCCUGCAGCGACGACGCAAUCAGGGAAGUUGCGUUCGAUGCGUUUAUGGACUUCGUGAAGCUGGGGAAGGACGGGAGGUUCCACUCGGCGAUUUACCACAAGUUUCUCCAUGCUGUGGUGGCCUGUGGGUGCUCCUUCCUCUUGUUAUUGCUUUACAUCUUUGUGAGGUUAGGAAAUAUGAUUAAGGUUUCCUAAUACUUCGGGGAUGUAAGAACAAACUUGGUUUCCGUAUCCCGUUUGUAUGUGACCUAGUAGCAUGUUUACUGGAGCCAGAUCCUUGAAAAACAUGUUUCCCUUAAGACUUCAAUUGAGUAGAAUUGGGGAUAUUGCUACUUUAGUUGAUGGAAUACUCUUGCAAUGCGCUCAUUUUUCUCCAAUUCCUCCUGCAGUUAUUGUUAAACCUUUGUGGAAAAAAAAGGCUACACAGGAUCUCAAUGAUGUGAUAAAUGAUAACCAUUUCUUCUAUUCAGAAUGCUACAAUAUAUUGGUGCUGCGAUUUUCCACUCCAGACAUGUGACCUGAAUUUUCCCCUUUCGUAUGGACAAAUUAUUUAAUUUGCUUGAGCUACAGUUUAGAUGACCACUGCUUAGUCCAUGUUGAGGUAAGAAAUUUGUAUCCUGCAGUCCUGCUUCUUCCUUUAUGUAUCAAGCAAAUUUCAUGCUUAUUUGCAGCUAUAUGCAUUUCAUGGUUUCUCUUUCUUAUGUUAGUGUAGUUUUGCCCGCUAAAACUUACAGUCUGCACUGCUCAUCAAUUUAUAAUGUUAAAAGGCUGACAUUCAUUUUGAUGAAGAAGUCUAUUUCAAGUGAGGGCAUGAAUGUACUCAUUCUUUUAUGUUAGAUGGGUUUUCAGCUUAUUUGAUUUUGUACAAUAUACUUGCAUUCUGAGCACUGAUCUAUUGGUUAAUUCUUUCACAUCUGAUUACUAUGCCUUUUAGUUUAACUGUGAUUUCCCACGCAUGUUUCGAACUUACCUAGCUCCCGCAACAGAAACGCAUUUGCAGGACUGAAGGGAAAGCUUUUCUUUCGACACAUAGUGCCCAGCAUUGAUCAUUCCACCUGAUUUGUAUGAGAUACCUGUAUUGUUCAGUACCCUCCACGUGGCCUAUUCGGUGUACGAUCAGAAGAUCUACCUGCUGGGUUUCUUUUAUAUUUUGUUUGAGCGACAACAUAGGCUAUCAUAUUGAACUUAGUGGAACUACAAAUUAAUACUAGAGCGAAUACUAGACCAUGAUGACAGAGUAAAAUUCAAAAAUGAAGUAACAAAUUAGCUUGGCGAUUGAAAGAGGACAGUGAAUAGCAACCAUGGACCAAUGUACUGUUCGGUUUAGUACGUCCAUUGUUUACAAUGCUGUGCUAUUCAAUUAUACCUAUGAAAUAGUUCUUAUAACGUUCCCUGUUUCUGUCUUUGAAUCAUCAAUAUGUCUUUAGAAGAUACUAUUUAGCUGGAUUAAGCUCACAUUUAGUUUGUAAACAUAUGACUGAGGAUAGUUUUGAACUGAACAUUAGUGAAGUGCUUGCAGUGGAUGGUCUGUGUGAUUGUAUUUUAAGUUGGCAUGCACUAUUUCAUGUAAAUUAGUGGGCUUGCCGUUAAUGUGCUUAUACCUAUAUGUUUUUUUUGGUUCUGUUUGGUUGUGGAGGAGAUAUUUGAUUUAAGUCCAAGUAUUUAUAUUCUAUUUGGUAAAUUUUGAUACAUAUACGGUGGCCACCUCGGAUAUGAAUAGCUUUUGAAGAAGUUACUUCACCGGAUGAAACAUUAUCAUUACUUAUUAAAUAGACAUGUUAGGUAUAUCUAGGAUAUAAUUAUUUGUAUAUUUUGGUGAAGGUAAUCUAUUUGAAACAUAUUAUAACAAUUAAAAUCCAUUAUGUAGCAAAAAAGCAUUUGGUCAAGCUACUGAUGGCCGCUUGCCAUUGCUUGUUGAUACUACUGCUAGCUUGUUGAUGCUACUGUUGGCUGCUCAUGAAGGAUGUAUGCUCUUUCAUGUGUAGAUGAACAACGGCAGCAGUGCUGGGAUUUGUCUAGAUUGAUUUGGUUGUAUCAAACGUGUGCUUUAAAUAGACAGAUACAAUGAAGAUGUAGAAAAUAUGAGAAAUAAAUUUAUUUGCUUAGUAAUUUGUUAUACUGAAUUUGGAUAGUUCAAAUAAGAGAUGUUAUUCGAUUGUGAUGUCUAAUAUUAUGCUAUCAACAGGAAUUGAGUCAACAUAUAAUCAAGAUUGGAAGAUUAGGGUGUUCUGCCACAUGAUAAGAUUUUGUUAAAAAAACAUAUACCAAAGGGGGAGUUUCCUUUAUUAAGAGAAGUCAAUUUUACAAAAUAUAAGAUAUCUGAUAUUCCAGAAUUCGUCCAUCAGAGAGUCGUAGAAGAUGAAAAAUCAGGUUGUUCUUCAAAUAGUGAUCUUUCUCUUAUUUAGAAAUAUAGUAUACUUGAUUUGUGUCAUCACUGCAGAGACAUGGAUUUUAGAUACAAAGUUUGUAGGUAUUUUUGUGUACACUGUAGGCUGCAGUUCCAGUUGGUAGUGGCAGAAUUAACCAUUGGCCAGAUGGUGGAGCGGGGCACUAUUUUUGUUAUGGAUGCUUCUCUUGUGUUGGCCCCUAUUUCACACAAAUAAAUGCUUACUAAUACUAGAUAUCUAGAGGAAACAAGCCGGUCUAGGUAAACAUAUAGCCACACAUACAUACCCUUAGGAUUCAUGAUAUUAUUGGAGCUCAUCAACGUACUUCUCUGUAGCUCAUUUUCUUUCUUGAACUGACAGGUGUAGAAUUCUGUUUUCUUACAUUUCAAAGUUAUAUUCACAUUUGUUGGACUGCUCAUGUUCUGAGUAUUUUUUCCUUUUGGGAAACCUACAGAUCCCUGUCUUGAAUAAUUAUGAUCAGAUUGAGUCAUUCUCUACUUUCAACAUUAUGUGCAACAAUUUAGAUCUUUUGGAAAUUCAUGCAACCACUGUAAGCUUCUCAGGGAAGAUAACCUCUAAUUUGUUCGUCUUUCUAAACUCAUGCAAUAGACACAAUUAAGAAGUUCUUGUUUAUAGUGGAUAUUACCACUUGUGAUUUUUGUAGUGAUAUUUCCAAUAUGAUUCUCAUGCUUAUGCAAUUUCCAUACCUCUCUCUUUCUUUUCUAAUCAGUUAAUCUAGAUUUGUGCAUACGUAUUACAUGAUUGUACAUGGAAGUGUUCUGCUGUUACUGAGUAUGUCAUCUAAUUUGUAAAUUUUUACUUGCAGACUAGGUGAAUAAUAUCUCAUGCUAGAAUAUUUUAAGCAUGAAUAUACAAAACUUAGGAAUACAUGCAUACUUUUAUCUGUUUAAGAAAAAUAUUUUCCUAUACGAAGUAGUAGGUUACCCUUGGAAAAGAAUGAAACAGUACUUUGUUUGAUUAUAAUUACGAGCACGAUAAUGUCUAUGCCUUUCAUGUCUUGUCCUGUUUCCCAGUCUUGUUGUAGGCAAAGUUAGUGGUUAACUAGCCAUAGUUGGUUUCAAUCUUCUUUAGUUUGAUGCACUGAUAUAUGUUGCAGCUGCUUAUACCUCAUUUUGGAAAUUAUUUGCUUGGAAUGCAACCUAUGUGGUUUGUCUGGCCCAAAUGCUGCAUUUGAAGGCUUCACUUGUGUUUCCUUGAUUGGGACGCUAAGGGCUGACAAGGAGGCGCCCCGGCCACUAGUGUAUAUCAUAUUAUUAUUUGAAUUGGUAGCUAAUCAAGCUGUUCUGUAAUUCUGUCUUACAUUGAAUUAAUAUAUGAAAUAUUCUGAUCAAUUCAGAACUGGGAAAGUUUCUGAAAACUAUACGGACAUACACAGUUAAAGUACUAUAUGGAAUUGUGAUUCUAGUGAAAACGUUAAGCUCCAUUACUGUUUUUAUUGUUGGUUUCCAGAAAAACACUACAUACUAUCUCAUAAUGUCUGUUUUACCUGUCUACAAUAGGCUCCUUCAACUUUGUCCUUUUUUCCUUCUCCCUAUCAAAUAUGUUUAUGAAAGUGAGAACCCCUUGCAUUUUGUCUGACUUCAAGUUGACAGGGACGACUUCUUACUCAAGCGUGUAUCUAUGUGGUUGUUUCUGACAUAUAUCAGAAGGUUCAACAAUCCUGGGGCUACUCCUGUGUAGCACUGAAAGGGUUGUGACAUUGCUGCAGUGGCGGUCGGUGUGGGGGUUGUGGCCUCUGCUGCUCCUGAUGCACCAGCCUCGUGUGCCUGAGAUGUUUGUGUGGCUGCGCAUGCUCUUACCCUAGCUUCUGCUCCUCGUCCCUAUGCCUCUCUACUAGCUGCAUGCUCCUUCCUGGAGCAUCUAUGUGGAUGGAAGGACCUUUUUUUGCAUGUACUGAUCGAGAUGGAGGUCCGGUAACUGGGAGACAGACACAAGUCUUCUACUGUGUACAGUUUGCUUGUGCAAAGUGUAUGUUAUGAGUAUUGAGGAAUUUGUGGUUUGAUCUACUGCUGCUACUGUAUUAUAAAUUUAUUCAGCUGAUCAUAUAUAUUCAACCUGAUAGAAGGGUGAGAGAUCCAUGUACUGCUACUGAGUUCUUUGUGUGCCAAAACUGAGAGAAUGGCUGUUGAGUGAUGCACCUACUGCCUUUUUUCUUUUCA